rnacentral:rRNA from 1 species
CGUGUAGGCGGUUGGUCAAGUCUGGCGUGAAAGCCCGGGGCUUACGCUCCGGAAGUGCGCUGGAAACUAGCCGACUGGAGCGCGAUAGAGGAGGGUGGAAUUCCUGGUGUAGCGGUGAAAUGCGUAGAUAUCAGGAGGAACACCGGCGGCGAAGGCGGCCCUCUGGAUCGUUGCUGACGCUGAGACGCGAAAGCGUGGGGAGCAAACAGGAUUAGAUACCCUGGUAGUCCACGCUGUAAACUAUGGGUACUAGGUGUUCGGGGUGUUGACCCCCUGAGUGCCGACGCUAACGCACUUAAGUACCCCGCCUGGGGACUACGGCCGCAAGGCUAA